CCCCUAAGAGUCUGUGUUGCCAUUCCGACACAUCCUCGCAGAGGAGCAACAGAUCCACGGACCCACCCGGGCGGGCAGAGAGGGCUCCACGCACCCGCCGCGCGCACGACCUCCCUCCCCUCUCUCCCCCAUCUCCCUCCCUCAGCUGCGGCGGACAUGCGCCCCCGGACUGAGGCUCCUCACCCGUGAAGCCGCGAGCGCAGAAUGAGACGGACGGAGAGCGCAGCGUGAGCGCUCCAGCUGCACCGCAGUGCCCGCCGCGGAGGAGCGUCCGAAUGCGCUUUGGGUGGCAUCCCCGGGGCUUGUGAGAGAGAGAGAGACAGAGAGAGCCCCCACCGCCGAUGACAUGACAACGAAACGCGCUUGACUCUCCAUCCUUCCUUCCAUCCAUCCAUCCGAGCAGGUCCGGUCUGCGCCUUCAUUCAUGUUGCAAACGCCUGGUUUAUGACAAUGGAUUACUUGCUGUGGGUGUGCAGCCUGCUGGUCCCCGCGAUCGUGGCAGUGGAAGAAACCCUUAUGGACAGUCGGUGGGCUACCACAGAGCUGGCAUGGACCACGUUUCCAGAGAGCGGGUGGGAGGAGGUCAGUGGCUACGAUGACUCCAUGAGCCCGAUCAGAACCUACCAGGUGUGCAACGUCCGAGAACCCAAUCAGAACAACUGGCUGAGGACUGACUUCAUCCCCCGUCGGGGUGUGCUCCGCGUCUACGUGGAGCUCAAGUUUUCAGUCCGCGACUGCGCUAGCAUCCCUAACAUCCCGGGCUCCUGCAAAGAGACCUUCAACCUGUUCUACUACGAGUCGGACGGGGACACGGCCACAGACACCAGCCCCCUGUGGAGGGAGAACCCUUACGUCAAGGUGGAUACCAUCGCACCGGACGAGAGUUUCUCGCUGCUGGAGGCGGGCAGGAUCAACACCAAAGUCCGCAGCUUCGGCCCCCUCUCCAAGGCGGGCUUCUACUUGGCCUUCCAGGAUCUGGGGGCCUGCAUGUCUCUCAUCUCAGUUCGGGUCUUUUUCAAGAAAUGCUCCACCACCAUUGCCAACUUCGCCGUCUUCCCUGAGACCGCCACCGGAGCGGAAGCCACUUCCUUGGUGAUUGCUCCGGGAGCCUGUGUGACCAAUGCCAUGGAGGUUUCCGUCCCUUUAAAGCUGUACUGCAACGGGGACGGGGAGUGGAUGGUGCCCGUGGGCUCCUGCACCUGCGUCGCAGGCUUUGAACCCUCAGGAGAAAACACUCAAUGCCAGGCUUGCAUCCCUGGAACCUUCAAAUCCAAAUAUGGAGAGGGAUCUUGUGUCCCGUGCCCGGCUAAAAGUCGCACCAGCGCACGGGGCGCCAGUAUUUGCCCCUGCCAGAAUGGCUUCUACCGCGCUGACAUUGACCCUCCGGACUCCUCGUGCACCACCAUCCCAUCAGCACCACGCAACCUAAUAUCCAGCGUGAACGAGACCUCGCUGUCCUUGGAGUGGGACGAGCCUGAUGACACAGGUGGGCGGAGUGACCUGGUUUACAACGUCGUGUGCAAGAAGUGUCUGCGAGACAGCAGCCCGUGCAUGCGCUGCGACGACAACGUGGAGAUCUCGCCGCGCCGCCUGGGCCUCAGGCUCAGGAAGGUGGUGGUGAGGAAGCUGCAGGCCCACACCCGCUACAGCUUCGAGGUGCAGGCCGUCAACGGGGUCUCCGGGAAGAACCACACCUCCCCCAGCUACUCUACAGUCAACAUCACCACCAACCAGGCUGCGCCAUCAGCAGUGCCCACGGUUCACCUGAUGCGGUCCACUGCAGACACUCUCAGCCUAUCCUGGUUGCCCCCAGAGAAACCCAACGGGGUCAUCCUUGACUACGAGAUUAAAUACCAGGAGAGGGGCCAGGCCAUGUCCCACACUGUGACGUCUCAGCACAGCUCUGCCAAGGUGGAGGGUUUGAGGGCGGCUACACCCUACGUGGUGCAGGUCAGGGCUCGCACUGUGGCCGGGUACGGGCGCUACAGCAACCCCAUGGACUUCAGCACCAGCUUGCACAGUGACCCGCAGAAGUCCGUGCAGGACCAGCUGCCCCUCAUCGUGGGCUCGGCGUCCGCCGGUCUGGUGGUCAUCGUUGCUCUGGUGGUUAUCGCCGUCGUCUGUCUGAAGAAGCAGCGCAGCGGGUCAGAGCUGGAGUACACGGAGAAGCUGCAGCAGUACAUCUCUCCAGGUGUAAAAGUUUACAUUGAUCCCUUCACCUACGAAGAUCCCAACGACGCUAUCCACGAAUUCGCCAAAGAGAUCGACAUCUCCUGCGUGAAGAUAGAAGAAGUCAUCGGUGCAGGCGAAUUUGGCGAGGUGUGUCGCGGACGUCUAAAGCAGCCCGGACGCAGGGAGAUGGUGGUGGCGAUUAAAACCUUAAAGGCAGGAUACACCGAGCGCCAGAGGCGGGACUUCCUGGCAGAGGCCUCCAUAAUGGGUCAGUUUGACCACCCCAACGUCAUCCGGCUGGAGGGCGUUCUGACCCGGAGCUGCCCAGUCCUCAUCAUUACUGAGUUCAUGGAGAACGGAGCGCUGGACUCCUUCCUCAGGCUGAACGACGGGCGCUUCACCAUGACGCAGCUGGUGGGGAUGCUGCGCGGCAUCGCCGCCGGGAUGAAGUACCUGUCGGACAUGAACUACGUGCACAGAGACCUCGCCGCCCGGAACAUCCUGGUGAACAGCAACUUGGUCUGCAAGGUCUCCGAUUUUGGCCUGUCGCGCUUCCUGGACGACACUUCCGCCGACCCCACUUACACAAGCUCGCUGGGAGGAAAAAUUCCCAUUCGGUGGACGGCGCCCGAAGCCAUCGCCUUCAGGAAGUUCACCACCGCCAGUGAUGUGUGGAGUUACGGCAUCGUCAUGUGGGAGGUGGUGUCCUACGGAGAAAGGCCUUACUGGGACAUGAGUAACCAGGAUGUCAUGACUGCAGUAGAGCAGGACUACCGGUUGCCCCCGCCCAUGGACUGUCCCAUGGUGUUGCACCAACUGAUGCUGGAGUGCUGGAUGAAGGAGAGGAACCUGAGGCCCAAAUUCUCCCGCAUCGUCAGCACCUUGGACAAGCUGCUCCGUAACGCCGCCAGCCUUAAGGUGGUGACCAGCAGCUACUCAGGCCAUGAGAUCUAAGUGUGUGGACUCUGCACAGCUGAGCUCCACUGACACUGAGAUGGAUUACACCUUCACCCACCUUCAGUGAGAGCGCUCGGCAGGGGACCUGCUGCGGCUGGGGGGAACGCUGCCGGGAAACAACAGGAAGAGCCUGGACAACAGUCAGGAAAUCAUCCGCCAGCAGAUGAGCCAAACUCUCCCGAUCAGAGUGUGACGGCUGCAAAACCAGAAGAAAAAUAAACAAACUCUGACACAGAGAUGUAAAAUGUAAACAAAAAAAAAAUGGAGGAUGGAGAAGAAGCAAGCCGCUUUGGAGAUUUCUUUCCCACUGGAGACUGAACAUCUGUACAAAGAGAACUUCCUCCCAUCGCAGUGUGUGUCUUUCAUUACUUGACACUUGUGGAUUUGUGACUGUUGACAUGAAGCCAAACUUCUUUUUUGCUCCCUCUCAGGUUGUGUUUGCAUGCCUGCAUGUGUUUUCUGCUGGUUGGGGGAAUCAGUCUUCUCUUCAGCCUCAACAGUGCCAAGAUGGAGCAAAACAUUUGCUCAAAGUCAAACUCCCAAAACAGCUUCAAUCUACACUUUUUUCCCCUAACUUGACCAAAUAUGUUUUUUUUUCUUUUUUUUUGUCUGCUUAUUUAGAGAAAAAGAAAAAAAAAAGUUCUUCUGCUUCCUUUGAAAUACUGUCUUCCACAUGUACCGGGAGAUGCGAGAAAUCUGUACAAAGCAUCCCAGUCUUAACACGCCCCCUCCUUUGGAUUGAUGAUUAGAGGGGGGGUAAAUGACACUGUGCAGGACACGUUACGUGCAUGCCAAAAUGGAAACUGCUUCCCGAGAAAAGUACCGAUAAGUAGUUUCAUUCAGAUGUUUUUGGGCUUUUAGGGACGGGUUUUUCUUAAUAGAGCUCCAUUUAUAUACUCCUUGUUUUGAAUGCUAACUUAUCUGUUCAGAAAGAAAUAUUAUUUGUUCUGUUUUUUUUUACCUGGGCUUAACUUUUAUAUUAUAAUGCUUGUUUCCUUUAGUAGGAUCCGGACAGACUUGAAUGAAAGAGCUGAGAAAGAUUUGGACGAAAAAUGCUUUUACAAAAAAAAAAAAAUAAAGUAGGAAUGUAAAAGGACUGAAAAACGGAAAGGUAAUCUGCAAAUAAAAGUGUAAAACGAGUCACUUUUCUUGAAGAACAUGGGCUGUUGAGGCGGUUCUUAUUCAAAAACAGCUUCCUGUAAAUAAUAUAUUUGUAUGGGGGAAAUUUGCGCCGCACAGUCCAGCUUUCUGACAUGUCUAUGACCCUUGUUUAUAUGCUUGUUGGGUUUCCGUUGUUGCGGCGCCGACUCAUGAAGAAAUGACAUUUAAACAAACCUGGAAGUGUCCACUAUGUGAAAGAAGAAAUGUGUCUGGUAGGGGCAGCGUUUUUUCCUGUGCAAUUAAAGGUGUAUUAGAUUGUAAAAAUAAAAAAAAAGGAAGUUGAGAGAACUAGAACAAAGAUAAGCAUUUCUCUUUCAGUAUUUUUACGAUAAUCAUAUGCAAAUAAAUUAUUAAACAGA